CAGUCGCCGCGGUAAUACAGAGGGUGCGAGCGUUAAUCGGAUUUACUGGGCGUAAAGCGUGCGUAGGCGGCUAAUUGAGUCGGAUGUGAAAUCCCCGAGCUUAACUUGGGAAUUGCAUUCGAUACUGGUUAGCUAGAGUGUGGGAGAGGAUGGUAGAAUUCCAGGUGUAGCGGUGAAAUGCGUAGAGAUCUGGAGGAAUACCAUGGCGAAGGCAGCCAUCUGGCCUAACACUGACGCUGAGGUACGAAAGCAUGGGGAGCAAACAGGAUUAGAUACCCCCGUAGUCCCUGUCUCUUAUACA
rnacentral:rRNA from 1 species